rnacentral:rRNA from 1 species
GUUGAACGCUGGCGGCAGGCCUAACACAUGCAAGUCGAGCGGAUGAAGGGAGCUUGCUCCUGGAUUCAGCGGCGGACGGGUGAGUAAUGCCUAGGAAUCUGCCUGGUAGUGGGGGAUAACGUCCGGAAACGGGCGCUAAUACCGCAUACGUCCUGAGGGAGAAAGUGGGGGAUCUUCGGACCUCACGCUAUCAGAUGAGCCUAGGUCGGAUUAGCUAGUUGGUGGGGUAAAGGCCUACCAAGGCGACGAUCCGUAACUGGUCUGAGAGGAUGAUCAGUCACACUGGAACUGAGACACGGUCCAGACUCCUACGGGAGGCAGCAGUGGGGAAUAUUGGACAAUGGGCGAAAGCCUGAUCCAGCCAUGCCGCGUGUGUGAAGAAGGUCUUCGGAUUGUAAAGCACUUUAAGUUGGGAGGAAGGGCAGUAAGUUAAUACCUUGCUGUUUUGACGGUACCAACAGAAUAAGCACCGGCUAACUUCGUG